CAAGCAGAGAAAAUUCAAGCGACUAAAAUGUGCAGAUGGUGUUACCAGCACAUAAUUAGAAUCCAAUUCGAAAUCUAUUGAAAAAACAAAGAAGGCAAGCAAACCACAUCCAACAGGUAAAAGAAAAAGGUCCCCUGAAAAAGGCUUCUUCAAUUCUUCUCUUUUCUGUGUGCAACAGGGAGAGGGGGGAUUGUGAAAAAUUUUAGUAUUUCAUCUCACCUGGCAAACUUUGCCAGGAAAGUUUAUAUCAAAAAAAAAAGGUAAGGUAACAGCUCGAAGAAUCUUUUCCUCUUUCCUAAUGUUCUUUUCACCAGAAUUAGGGAUGUGUUAGAAUUAUCUCACUACAUAUGUUCUAUCGCACAAUAAUACUGACUAAUUUGGUUCUAAAAUGUUUAUCCAUCUAGGUUCUCAUGCAAAGUUUAAAUAAAGUAGGGAAAGAAUUAUAGCUAACCGCAACAAACACCUAAGAACCUGGGGUGGAGUACAUCAUCUAUUAUUUUUCAUCCACAUACCUCACACCACCGAUAUCCGUGCAUGAACUUAAUAUACUUUGGUCACUAUGAAGCCAUGCAAGAGUUCUAACUGAACCAGGAGAAUCAUGAACUUCCCUUGGUGGUGCAUCUGGUUGGUUUAAGUCAUAUAUUCGAAGAAUCUUUUCAAAACCACCAGUGAGUAGUAGGUGUGUAUCCUGCAAGAGCAUCAAAAGUCAAUUUUGUCAAUGUCUUAAAAAUCUUACAGAGUAUACUGAACUAAAAUAUUAUUGCACUUGCUUAUUUGCGUAAUGAAUAAGACAUGCACUAAGGGCUUGACAUUUCUUAGGAUAAGCAAGAAAAGAUUACCAAUGGUUCAUACUCAAGGAAGGGAAACACCCCUAACUUAUAAAAGCACCACAAAAAGUUCAAUAAGCAUAAACCUGGAAGGUAGGUCCUCAAAAGGCUUCAUGAGCAAAAGGAUCAAAAGAUAUCAAAUUAUAGCAAAUACUGAUAAAAAAAUGUAUGUUAACUAGGCCACCUUUAAGGUUCUAUGAACUUCUUUAACAUGACAUGCUUAGAACUAUUUGAAGCUUUCCACAUCAUCAAGUCCAUCUUCCAGUUGAACUUUAUGCUAGAAAAAAUGAAGCUUUUAACAAACUACAACGUAUCCAAAAAUAGUUGCAAUAUUUAGCACUUGAAGAUAUACCAACCAAGAAAGUGUGUGCUUUAAGGAAAAGAAUAUAUCAACUAAAAAGUCACAAGCCCCACAAUCCAGUCAAUUAAAGAGAAGAACAUUCUCAAAAGCUCCAAAUGCUACAGUCCAACUAGAAACAUGAAUGAUAUUUGAGAAACUCUUAACAGGUUUAAAAACUACACAUACUCAUUUACUUAGGGCAGAAGGACGACCUAAAACUACCUCCCUGCUCAAGUUAAUGGAAAAUGCAUAGGGACAACAGCAACUCAAAUUUUCACAAGCAAAAACAUUACAGCAAAAGGGAAGGCAAACCCAAACAAGCAGCUAGUAUACAGCAAAAGAAGAAUUGCUCAGAAUGAUAAGUCAGCUCAAUAUAAAAUGCUUGAAACGUAAUUGCCUCAAGACGUCAAGUAACAACCAGUCACCUCUGAAAAGGAGCAUGCCCGAACUAUGUGUUUGUGCUCAAAUGAAUGCAAUUCAUCCCCACUUAAUGCAUCCCAUAGUUUCCUGUAAAAAACAGUCACCAUUUAUGAACAGAAAAUGUACGCUGCCAACCCUACAGCUCUCGACCACAAUUCUAGAAUAUAAGACAUGACAUAAGCAUGUUGGAUGCUGAUGAUUUUGUUCUGCUGUCAAAAAGGCUUUCAUACAAAUAAUUAUUCAAUUGAAACUAUUUGAGUCAGGAAAACGAUUUACUCUAAUUUCAGAAAAAAAAAAGCAAUCAUUACCUUAUGAGAACACAUUAGAUAAGAUACUUGCGUCCCAGAAAUCAAAGAGAAACAGAAAAAGCUACUUACGCACUGAAAUCAGCAGAUGCAGAUGCAGCACGUAGAGCAGGUUUAUCCAAACAACAACUCCAAACUGCACCUUUAUGUCCUUGAAAGGUUCCAAUCCAAUCACCAGUCUCUCCAUUUCUCAACAUUGGAUUGGAAUCUGACAUGAAAAUAAACUAGUAAUUAACCAGAGUCUAUUCUCUUAUACUCAAUAACCUUUUAACUGAAUACAAUAACAACCAUCUCUUGACAAUAUUGCUUUAUACUUUCAGAUAACAGGUCUCAUAACAAAACCUCGCCAUCCCUACUUCUGGAUUAUUUUUUUAUUUUUUUUGAAAAGGAGUUCUAUACUGUACCAUCAAAAUGAAAAUCAACAUUCAUUUUCAUGAAAACCUAACAGUAGUUUUUGGUCAAGUGUCGAGUAUUCAAAUGUCAAAUGACCAGGAUAAAUGUUUCUUGGUAUACCACUAGGAACAUGAUAAAAAAGAUACAAAGAUAAAUCUUCAUAAGUAAAUCUUGGAAGCCAUUGGUAAGUAUCUUGGCAAGUCACUUAAUCAUACCUGACCUAAAAAAUAUCAUUUCAUUUUACUGGUCACAAUCCAUAGCAAGUUGAGAGGCCAGAAUGCCACACCUCAUUAUCGUAGCUCAGUGAAUCACACUUGCUUACGAUAUAUAUACUGCCCAAUAUGUAAUAGAAAGAGACCUCCCCAACAAGUGAAAAAAAGUAAUCAGACAUCAAGAAAAUUGAUUGCGAGUAAGUAUUUGGGGUCUGGAGAUUACAAAAAGGAGCUUACACAGUCAUUCAAACGUUACUUACACUCAUGAUAGCAACAGACUGGCUGUAUAUUUCAUGGCUAGAAACAGUAACUAGUUUCAAGUACGAAUUGGUACAAAUGACCGUGAUAUCAUGGACCAAAAGGUUUAAAUUAAAAAAAUCUUAAGCUAGUUAUGAGAAUUAGAACAUGUCGUGUAGGUGCAACUGAAGACAAAGGACUUGAUAAAUAGACAAAUAAAAAGAGAUGGCCAAAAACGUUCUUUCUGGAAAGAUUACUGUAACUUUUUACAAUUAGCUGCAAUUUCAAAUUGGAAUGGUGAACUCCCUACUACAUCUGCCUAUAAGCUGACUUUGACAUGAAUACUGAGCAAGUGAAAGACAAACUGGACCUGGUUAUGAAAAUAACAGGACUUAACGAUAAAGCGAUCAUAGCGAUGGCAAUUACUGCUAAAGCCCAACCUAAAUCCCAACUCUCAAAAUAAAGAAAACCAAAGAAUUCAAUUCGCCAAGGAUUCGAGCAAGGAUAUUGAGACUGAAGUACAUAUCCUUUCAGGAUGCCCAAAAGCCUAAUGGUCGGACAAAUUUGUUAGCUCAGGAAGCUGCAAAUGAACAAGAUUUGCUCAAUUUACAAGAAUGGGUAAGUGUGAAUAUGAAGGAAAGGCUAGAGAUUAGGUCGGUGCUAUCCGUUUCCUUUCUUUUAAUUCUGGUAGCAAUUAACUGGGAAUGCUUUUGAAUACUCAUUUGCGUAAUUAGCUGGGAAUGCUUUUGAAUAUUCAUUUGCUUGGAUAGUUGGAAGGAAGAGAACAUAGAGGCCAUCAAACGUCAAAGCAGUAAUCCAUUCAUUAUAAUUCUCCUAACCAUUAACUAGCAGGGGAAACCAGAUUGCUAAAGCGUACACAGAAAUAUGAUGAACUUGUAAAAUUCGUAUCAACAAACUAGAUUGCUCAACUAAAACCGGGAACUAGUGUUCAAAUUCAUAUGUCUAAAUAAUUCUGGAAAAAGGAAUUACCCUUGCUCGCACUGAUGAGGAAGAACCCAUCUGGAGUAAUUGGGCUGUAAAACAAAUCCACAACCGGACGAGAAUGACCAUGGCAAACAAGGGGAGCAGCACCCUUUUUCUUAUCCAUUACUUAACCGAUCCAGCGAAAAAGAAAAAAAAAUGAAAGAAAAUUAUAACUUUUUUCUGUAGAAGUGCAUCUUUUUCAAAUUCAAAAAAAAUCUAAAGUCCAAAUUAUUUAACCAGAAAAUCACACAAAUUCCCUGAUCCCAAAUCAAUCACUUGUAAUACCACCUCUUUUUUCCCCACUCUUAAUACAGUGACAAUUGACCCCUAAAAAACCCACAAUUGCCUCCGCAAAUUAAACCCCAAAAAAAAAGUUUUUUCUACUUUUUAGAUUUUGAUUUUUUUAUCAUACACAGCAAAGUCAGCUAUACGUAUACUGGCGUACAUGAUUCGUCAGUAUAACAACGAUUGGUGGCAAAUUAAAACAGGAAGAAACCCUAAUCAGAGGAUAAUUCAAUUAAGUUGUGAUUGGAUUCACACCUCCUAAUCAGAUCAAGUUUUAUUUGUGAAAGAAAAGGGAAAAAAUAAAAAGAAAAAAAAUACUCUAAAAAUUCACACUACAUAACUAGAUGUAGGGCUGGGCGCAAAGAAGCUUGAGAGGCGAAUGGUUGCCUUUUAUAGAGUCGAGAAAUUCGUCAGAGUGUUGCCUUUUUUCCAAAAAAAAAAAAAAAAAAAAUUUGUGAUUUUAUAAGAAGAAACCUUAAUUUCUUAUCAAAUUAUGGACUUACCCAGGAAAAGCUGUCUGGUUGGAAUGGAAAUAACUAGAGCACUUUUUGAUAUAAUUUUUUGAAAAAAAUACUAGAGCACUUUUUUAACGUGUUGUAUGUGAGAUAAAAAAGUGAUUAAAAAAUGUGUUGAUAAUGUAAAUAAGUCAGUGUGUGUAAAUAAAAUAAAAAUAAUGUGUAAUCUGAAUUUUUGACUUGGAUUGUAAGGUUUAUUUACUAUCAUGUGUUUGGAUAAAUGAUUAUUGAAAAUAUUAUUUGAAAUAAAUACUAUAACAUUUUUUAUAAUACAAUAUAUGAAUGUUAAAUAAAAGGUGAUUGAAAAGAUAAAAUAUAAAAAUAAAAUUAAAAAUAUGCAAAUAAAUGUUUUAUUUUUUUUGCAAAUAAUACCAAUUCAAAUAUAUCUAAUAUGCUAUCAAUACAAUUCCCAAGACACAGGCCUACGUACCAGCGCUCUUGAUAUAAUUCUUUUAAUAUAAUAUAAUAUGAUUCUUUUAAUAUAAAAUGAUUAAUAUAAUUCUUUUAAUUAAAAAUGAUGCUAUGAUUUUUUUAACCUUUUUUGUUAUUUACUAGUAUCUAUAUGUGUACGCUCAUAGAUUUUGAAACUUACAUUGAGUAUGGUGGUGAAACAUAUACAAAACAUUAGUAAGAAUGAGAAAUGACUAGUCUGACCAGAAUUCGUGAAUAUUGCAAAAUAAAUUGUUGAAUAAGUUUAAAAAAAAAGAAAGAAAUAAACUUGCUAAGAUUUAAUUGGUAAAACUAGAGAUACUAUCGAGGUGAUCAUAUUUGAGCUCGAACUUGAAAUUUGGUAACAUACUAAUGAAUAUUCCAAGCAAAACUUGGUCCGGAAAAACUUUCGAGUUUUAUUGAAUUUAGGGACGGGAGUUCGAUAGUGGUUUGAGAGCUCGAGGACUUGCAGCAAAUGACUUAAUCACCCCUGAACAUGGAAUAGCUACACUGGUUAUAGUCAUAAACAUUGUAACAAAUAAAACUGAAAUAAUAAUUUAUAAACAAUAAUAUAAUAAUUAGAUAUUUAAUGAAAAAACUCAUUAGAGUUAGUUAAGCUUUCGAAUCUCCAAAAUUAGUACUCGAACUUGAUUCAAAAUCUCAAUCGAACAAUUUGAGCUUGACUUGAACUCUAUCAACACUAUAUGUUUAGGUCACGUUGCUCAAUUAAAUAUCCCCCUAGGUGAACCCAAACAAAUAUCAAAGAAGUAUGGAAGAAAAACAAAACCAAGAGUAAAAAAUAAAAUACAAAAAAAUCUCAACAUAAUAUCUCUUAAUAGAGCAGCAUAUUGUCCUGAUUUAAGUUAUCAAUAGUGAAGUGAAAAUAAAGAGUAAACAUUCCAUGCUGAAAACCUAAAAAAUGAAAAGAAUAAAACAUCAAAUUAGUUCUGUCUAUAAUAUAAAAAGAAAUAUAUUAGGGGCGCAGUUUUAUUUAGUUAAAAAUUAAAUGAGUUAUUUGUAAAUUAUAUAUUUUUGGUUUCCUCCUCCAAUUUCUGAGAUUAAAUCUAUAUAUACUAGUGCGAGAGACAUAACCUACGAAUGUGCAAAUUAUGGAUAAAGUUUUUUUUUUCUUAAUAAAAAGAUAGGAGUUAUUUAUUUUUCUUAUUUUUUGGCAACGAAUGUAAAAGUUAUUAGAAUUUUGAUUUGGAAAAAAAAUAGUGGGAAGUUAUUUGAAGUCUUUAUGAAAGAAAGUUAUUGAAAGUUAGAAUAAAAAAGUUAUUAAAAAUUGUUGAAAUUGAAUUUAGUUUAUUUGUGGUUAUAUGUAUAAAAUAUAAAUCCUUACUUAUUUGGGGAUAAAAUUAGAAUAAUAAAUAAUGAAAAAAGAUUUUGAUGGCAAACGCCACGCUCAUGCUGCUUUAUGGACCAUAUAGAAAGAUACAUAUAUAUACACACACGAACACUCAGGAGUCAGGACAGAAGAAAGCAUAACUUGACCAAGACGAAACCUAUUCUGCAAAUCCACUCUACCCAGGGGAGCUCAUUACCGAAAUCUUUCUAGAAAUCGAAGAGCCUAUUUUGUCAUGGCGAUGGCGGCAGUCGAGAAUAAUUGGCCGGCGGAGGGUGCCGAUAACGCGACGAACCAUUACAAUCAACAGCAAGGCGGUGGCGGAGGUAGAGGCGGGGGUGGAGAAGGGCUGCGGCAGUACUACCUGCAACAUAUCCAUGAUCUUCAGCUCCAACUCCGGCAACGUACACACAAUCUUCAGCGUCUUGAAGCCCAGCGCAACGAUCUUAAUUCCCGAGGUCUCUAAUUUAUCUCCUAUUUUCAGCUUACCCUGCUCUUCCCCUUCCGCUAAUCAGGGGAAAAAAUAAGUUGAAUUGAUUUUUAUUUAGCUCUAUUUAUCUGCUUUCUUAAGCUUUUCAGGUAGUCACUCUUAUUUUGUUCUGUUUCUUUUCUUCCCUUUUCUUACUAAUAUCUAGUUAGUAUUUAGCAUGGGGGACGAAAAUUAAUGGAUCAAGUCUGGCAUUUAAAUUUUGGAAUCAAGGAAUGUGUGUGGAAAUUAGAGAGGAAAUCCAGGAAUUGGCAGGAUGAUGUUACAAAUAGAGUGUCUUUACUGUUUAUUGUUGGCCCUCUACUUGGCAAUUGAAACUCGCCUUCGAUAUCAAGAAGUAAUUUAGUGGACUUCCUUCAACUUCAGAAUAUACCAAAAAAAAAAAAUUAAUGGAUAUGAUGGUGGGGGAUUGCAUUUGGCCGAUUAACGUUUGUUUUUUUUUUUUUCCAACAUAGGCACACUGAGAACAUAUUCGGAUCAAGUAUUGCAACAUCUCAUGGUUACAUUAAGUUUGUCUUAAUUUCGAUGUGAGAGUGAGAGUGAGAUGUGUUUGGUGUUAUUUCUGUUGUCAUUAUUUACUUCUUUUGGUUGUGUACUGUUCUUUAACUGUUCCGUGACAUGUGCUGUUAUUUUUUGCUUCCAAUGCAAACAGUGAGAAUGCUGAAGGAAGAGCUACAGCUUCUACAGGAGCCGGGGUCUUAUGUUGGUGAAGUUGUCAAAGUCAUGGGAAAAUCAAAGGUCUUAGUUAAGGUUGGUGAUUUAUAUUCAUUCCACGCUAAUUAGGAUUAUCAUCUGGUUAGUAGCCUUCAGUUUCUUCUCAAGCUAGUAAAUUCCUAGGAAGUUUAGUCAAUGAUAAAUAAGGGAAUGAAACCAUCAAAAACUAGUCUUAGUCCUUAUAUGUGCAGCUUUGAUGAAAUUUAUAUCAUUUUGAACAUUCGUAUUGAUCUACUUUCAUCUCUGACUCUACAACUUUCAUACUGUUUACUUAUGGUAGCUUCCUGUCCAAGCUAUCAUACUUUUACCUUAUGAUAGCUUUCAUUUUGCACUGUCAUAGUUAUUACAGCUUUGCACCUGUUUUUGAAUUUUUAUUUUGCUUCCGUUAUCUUUAUAUGUUUACGAAAUGUGCUGGGAAUUUUUUUUUUCUUUUUUUGACAUCCAGGUUCACCCUGAAGGGAAGUAUGUUGUUGACAUCGACAAGAAUAUUGACAUUACGAAGAUUACUCCAUCAACUCGAGUAGCAUUGCGAAACGAUAGCUAUGUGCUUCACUUGAUGCUGCCCAGCAAAGUUGAUCCUCUUGUCAACCUAAUGAAAGUUGAGAAAGUUCCAGACUCAACUUAUGACAUGAUUGGUGGUCUUGACCAACAAAUUAAAGAGAUAAAAGAGGUACAGUUUUGGGCUUCGGUUUUUUGCUCGCUGUGUAUUCUGGUUCUCAUUCUCUAUGUACUUGUUAACAAGAGAAAAAGGUAACUAAGUACAAUUAUGGCUGGAAGGUUGCUGUUCUCUGUGACUGCUCUUGGAAAUGGGACUUCUAAAGUGUUUGUUGUAGUCUGUUGAUUCCACCAUAAGCAUAACAGAUGCAUAGCUUUAUGUUUUCUGUGUCUUUUGAGUUUUAAUCCAAUCUUCUGUCUUCCGACCAUUUUACAGGUCAUUGAGUUGCCAAUCAAACAUCCUGAAUUGUUUGAAAGUCUUGGAAUAGCACAACCGAAGGUGGGUUAAAUAAUGAUGAUUUGUUGAUGUACAUAAUUUUAUAUGCUUAUCUAACCUACAUUGUAUUGAACUAUUGAAGGGAGUCUUGCUGUAUGGGCCACCUGGAACAGGGAAAACCUUGCUUGCAAGGGCUGUGGCACAUCACACUGAUUGCACCUUCAUUAGAGUUUCAGGGUCUGAGUUAGUUCAGAAAUACAUUGGAGAAGGCUCUAGGAUGGUUAGAGAGCUUUUUGUCAUGGCAAGGUAAAUCCUUUUUGCUCUUUACAUUCCCAGCGUUGGAUUUAGUAAUGUAUCUUGAAGCCUUCUUUUUGCUUCUCUGAGUGGUUGAAUUGCUAUUGUAAGAACCAGUCCAUGCAAUUGACACUUAUGAUUUUUGACAGGGAACAUGCUCCCUCGAUCAUUUUCAUGGAUGAAAUCGAUAGCAUAGGAUCUGCUCGCAUGGAAUCUGGAACAGGAAAUGGGGAUAGUGAAGUUCAACGGACUAUGCUUGAGCUUCUCAACCAACUCGAUGGAUUUGAAGCCUCGAAUAAGAUAAAAGUAGUAUUCAAGUUUCUAAUCUAAUGCCUUUAUUUAUGUGAAGUCUCUUUGCCUUUCUUAUAUCUUCUCGGGACACCUUCAAUCACAUGGUUGUUUCGAACUGAUUCUAAUGAUCUAUGCAGGUUUUGAUGGCAACCAAUAGAAUUGACAUUUUGGACCAAGCACUCCUUAGGCCUGGUAGGAUUGACCGGAAAAUUGAGUUUCCAAAUCCUAAUGAAGAGGUACUUCUGUGUUUCGCCCAGUUGUUCAUUUUCCUUCUGUUUUGCAACCUUUUUCUUUUGUUAGACUGCAUUUUACUUGGCAAUGGCUACAUUUUAGAUUUAUUUUCCAGAUUUUCGUUUAGCGCUGUUGUUAUCUAAACUAGUAGUCAUAUUCUAAAUUUGCGAAAAUGUCUUCAGUCUCGUUUUGACAUCUUGAAGAUACACUCAAGAAAGAUGAACUUGAUGCGUGGUAUAGAUCUAAAGAAAAUUGCAGAGAAAAUGAAUGGUGCCUCGGGUGCAGAACUUAAGGUAUGUUGGUGUUUUAAUUGCAAUUUUCAUACCCUGUUCCGAAGUUAGUGUCUUAAUUUAGAAAAUGGAAUAGGAGUACAUAUGGAGUUUGGUUAUUGCGCAAGUAAAAGUGUUACUACCGUGGUAUUCUGAUCUACAUCAAACUUCAUGACCAGUCACCUCCUUAUUAUGGAUGAUGAGAAAAUAAAUAAGUCGAACGUGCUUGUGCAAGACAAGGUUUCUACUUUUAAAAAUGGCUUUUGUGUUUGAAAAUUGCUCAAGGUUCUCCAGCUGGAAUACUCAAGAUUCAUCUCCUUUCACUAGAUAAAUUUGCCUGCUCAAGCUGAAUCUUGAACUUUGCUUAUCUCGGUCUCUUCUAAAUCCUUAGGAUCAUUAGGAAACCAAUAUAUGAGUUUGGUAUGUUGGAAACUUAUUACUGAGAGCCUUGAGAUUCUCUUUGCUUCUUUUGCAGGCUGUUUGCACUGAAGCAGGAAUGUUUGCUCUGCGGGAGAGGAGGGUUCAUGUCACUCAAGAGGACUUUGAGAUGGCAGUGUCUAAAGUGAUGAAGAAGGAAACAGAGAAAAAUAUGUCGCUAAGGAAGCUGUGGAAGUAGGCAUUCUGAGGCUGCUUAUUUUCGUUAGCAGUCAAUUGGGUAGAUGCAAGAGGAUGUCAUCAAUUGUAUGUUACAGUUAGCAUUGGUGUCAUAAAGAAUCGAAUUAAUUUCUGUGAGGAACUUCCCCACAUUUUUUUUUCCCUCGAGAGCCUACAUUUUCGUCACUUGAGACGUAAUAACCUUGCAAUGUUUCUUUCACCUCUUUGUUGCUAUAGCUUCUCUUUAAUGCAAGUAUAUCUCUAUAGCCUGUGAAGUGUAUAUUUGGGCUUUACAGAGCGUAAGAUCCGCGGUGUUGCGUCCAACAAUUCGAAGUCCCUGAUGGGCCCCGGCUGAUUGCUAUGAACUCGGAAAGAAACCGUUCACCCACUCGAAGUCCCUGGUCUGCGACUGUCAAUCUGUCAUGCAUAAAAAAGUACAUUUAGCUGUUAAAAGUACUUUUAUAGUUUCUGACAAACAUCAUCAUUCCGUAAAAUUAGAAAUUGCAUCUUUGGUGCUAGAAAUAUUUUUAGCAAAAGUUUAAAUUUGGUACUUUUAAAUAAGCUUUUGCAAUUUAAAAAAUAAAAUAUUAAAUUUAAUCAUUUUAUCCUAUCUUAUAAAAUAAAUAAAGAGAUAAAUAUAUUUAAAAAUUUUCAAAUUAUACAUUAUUUAAUACAAUAAAUAUUUCUUAAAUUAUAUUUUUAAAUAGUAUAUUUAAAAGUAUUUAAUUAUUUAAUAAGUACUUUUAUUAAAAAUUUUAUGAACAAAUAAACUGUGGUGACAACAAACAGCCCUAAAUAUCUCUUCCUUAAGCCAUGCGCCAAGGACGUCAGUCCCAUCCCAUGUGAUGGGAUCUGUCGUCGUUUUCAGUGAGCUAACGGCUAACCUAAGAAAACAAAAGCCAAAAAAGCAAAAAAAAAAAAAAAAAAAAAAAAAAAAAAAAAAAAAAAGCAAAAAGUGCAUCGAGAUGUGAUGUUUUUAUUUAUUAGUAUUUGCCACGCGUACAAUCUUAUCCACUUCCCAAAAAAGCAUCCGUUUCUUCCUUCCUUCUCGCUCACUUCACUCUUCCAUCCUCCCUUCAUCAUCUUGUUGGAAAAAAAAAAUUUUUUUUUUUUGUGGCUUCAGCAAGCCAAGCAAAGCCUCCUCAGAGCUUCUCUUUGGAUUAAUGCUAAUGGCCACAACCCCAUUUGCCCAUUUCCCCACCUCCCCAGUCAUCUGCUCCGCUUCUCCCCAACCCAACCACCACCCUAAACACAACCCGACCCGCCAGAAGUUAUCUCCUUCUCCCUCCAACUGGUGGCCUCCACUUUUCGGAUGGUCCUCCGAUCCCGACUACAUUCAGGGCUCCAACUCCGAGUCCAACCAAGAGAGCGGAGAGAUUCAGGGCCAUCCCGGGAGGGAAGCUCCGGGUCGGCCCACCAGGUCCAAGUUUGGUCUGGGGUGCUUUACAGAAGAAAAGGCCAAGGAGCUGCGGAAAAAGACCAUGGAGUCCUCAACCUUCCACGACAUUAUGUACCACUCGGCCAUUGCUUCUCGCCUUGCAUCGGACGCCUCUGCCUCUGGGACUGGGCAUCGUCAAGAACGCUGACUGUUAGCUUUCGCGCUGGCUGGCUGGGCCCCACAUCCGGUUAUAUGAUUAUUAAUCAAAUCCGUCGACUUGAAACUUUAUGAUCUGUUACUACGAUGUAAUUUGGUUUAUUUCCCAUUCCGAUUAUUGUUUUUUCAAGUCUUGGUAAUAAAAUAUGUUCGGCAUGGUUUUUUCUUUUUGGGGGGCGGGGGGGGGGGGGGGUUGGCUUCUUCUAAUUUGCAGUGCUGUAUCGAUCUGUUGUUGUACAAUUUAUUACCCACUCUUUGAUUCGGAUUAUUGGGGUUUUGCUUUCUUCUUCAAUUUCUGGAGCAUGCCUGCAAUCUGUCCUUGUUGUAAAUUCUAGUAACUUAGCAAGCAUCGAAAAAAGUACAGGUAACUGGAUCAUAAUUUCAGUAGAACCAUGUAAUUUAAGCGUAGCAUUCUUCGUUUGUUUCAGAUCGCUGUGACCAAAAGGGUAUUUCAUUUUCUUUAUAUCCAUUGUUUGAUGUUCAAGUUAAAACCCCUAAUUCCCAACGAAAUAGGACCCAAAAUAUAAUUUAAGAAAAAAAAUGGGGGCAGUAAUAAAAUCAAGCGUUGAUAUAACAUAUGUGGGAGUACUGAAAGCUCCUGAUGAAAUUUGUAGGCAUUCCCCUGACUUUUAUUGGACUGAGACAUUAUAAAAACCUGAGAUUGAGAAAUCCCAGAAAGCAACUCUAUGGCUGUUAACCUUCAAUAACGAGAAAUCAAGUCAAGGAUUGACUCAUUAUGUAUACUGCGGCUUUAUGCUUUCAUCCAUUGCCGCCGUAGAUAUGGAAGAGGAGUCCUGAUUAAAAGUCAUAGUUGAGGGAAUUUAGGGACUCGCCUCAAUAGGAAGAAAGAGAGACCCUGGAAUUAAGUAUACACAUCCAUGCAUUAUUCACAACUUGACUCCAUAGCCGCACAGGAACUACUGGUGGAGUAUCCCUGCUGCGGGUCAGAAGAAAAAAUAGCCUCCAGUUGGAUUCUCCACCGGCCCCAAACUCAAUAAUUUCCUGCCACUCGAAGCAUUCUUCAACUCACAUGGCUCGUCAAUUCGUUCACAGAAAGAAACAUGCUGAACAAGAGGAGGGGAAAACAGAGGCGAGGAUUGAGGUUGGGGAAUCCCAAAUUGGAGUAGCUUUUUCUGGGGCAGCAGACAUCUGUAGUUUAUUCGUUAGACGUCCAAGGACAUCUUUGUACUAAAACAUUUCUGAACAGGCGUAAUUGUCACACAGAAAACUUGUGCUUUUCAUUAUUUUAUCCGUUAGUUAGAGCGGAUUUAAGUUCAAAUGUCAAGUACCUUUAUAACCGCAAUAGUUUUAUCUCUUUUCACUAAUUUAGAUGUACUAUAAAGUUAAAAAUUCAAUUUUUUUUUUCUUCAAAUUGAGUGAAGGUAAGAUUGAGAAUAGGGAUUUUGCUAACAAUUGUUAUGUAUUUCUUUUUUUUUUUUUUGGGUAGGUGUUAAGAUAAUAGUGUGUAUGAUUUACUAAUAGGAAACUCUCUCUCACAAAAGUACCUUUGGGAAAGGGCCAUUGCGGUUGAAGUUUAGUACGUUUCAGUUCGUUUGUUGUAUUUUUUACAUUACUUUGUGUACAAAUAUUACAUUACAGUAGUAUUUCGAGGUAAAAGUUGUGCACAUAGAUAAAAUAUUUGACAUAUAUUUAGUACAAUAUUAUAACGUAUUUCUACACUAAAAAUUUAAGCAUGUACAACAACCGGACGGAAUCGCUCAAAACACAUUUGUACUGAAUCCUUAUCCAAUACGUUAUUAUACAUUAUACAUAGGGUUCAUUUGGAGUUGUGGUAACUUAUCACAAAAUACUUUACCUAAUAGAACUUUUAAUGAAAGCCUUAUUAAGUGCUUAAGCGUUUUUAAAUAUAUUGUUUGGAUAUAUAGUUUAAUAAGUAUUCAUUAUAUUGGAUAAUAUGUAAUUUGAUAUCUUUUUAUUUAGUUCAGAAUAUAGGAUAAAAUGAUUAAAUUUAAUGUUUUAUUUUUUAAAAUAUAAAAGCUAUUUAAAAGCACCAAAUUUGAACUUUUGUUAAAAGCUUUUUAACGCUUAAAAUUGCAUUUCUAAUUUUAUUGGAUGAUAUUCGUCAAACGCCUUUAAAAGUGUUUUUAGCAUCCAAAAGUGUUUUUUUAACUAAAAGCACUAUAAUCCCAAAUGGUCCCAUAAUAGUAGAAAUCUAAUAAAGGUCCUAGUGUUUUCGUAGAUCUUCUAGACUUUAAUUAGUGGUUCUUGUGGCUCCUUCCAAGAGCCUGCAUAGCUAAUUAAUGCUCUCUCCGUUCUAAUUUGAUAGUUUUGUUUCUUUUUUCAUACGUCUCAAAUUAUAGUCCACUUCUUAAUUGAAAAAUAUAGCUAAUAUUUAAUUUCUCUAAAAUGCCCUCAAUUAAUUUACUUUGUUGUCAGUGAUUAUAACCUAUCUUAUUCAUUAAUUGUUUUGAUUUAUGCCAUGAAUGAUGCAAUUUUUCAUCAAUAUUAUUGUUACAAUUACUGUAAAGCUAUAAUGGUUAGUUAUGCUACUACUAUUAAUGUAAGGGUAUUUUAGAAAAAAUAGUAGAAAAAAUUUCUCUUCCAAUUAACUUAACUAAUUUUUUUAGGAUUAAUCUUUUCUACACUGACAGUGUAUACACUAUCAGUAUUGGAUGAAUGACAACUAUGUAAAAU
rnacentral:lncRNA from 1 species